GCGGAGGUGCGGAGUUUCUCUGCAAACUCCAUUGCGCUCUCACCUCUUGAUCUCCGCGUUUAUUUGUUUGUGUUUUGUUAUAUAUUAUUUAUAAUAUUCACCAUGGCUGAAAAGGCAGAGAUGCCAGCAGACACUGUGUCGCUCCCCCCCACAUACGCUCCGUCCGAGGCUUACACCGAAUCGCCUCCGCCGGCAUACCGGAAGGACAAGAGCAAGAUGGUGCAGGUGGCGCGUAUGGUGUGCAUCACCGUCCUGGCAGCCGCCUUCCUCAUCGGCUUCUUCACCGUCACCUCUCAGUGGAUCAACAACAGGACCUGCGACUGCGAAAAGGUGGGCGCGGGAGUGAGUCGCUUCCGUUGGAUUGCUGCGUGUGUGUGUCUGGUGUUGCGGAUUCUUGCUGCACCAAUACCAGCUAACGGAAAAAAUCGUAUCCGCUGGCACUUUCGUCCCCAAAGGAGUAAAACUUGUCAGUUUCCGCUUUGGGGUUUUCAAGGGAACUACGAUGGCGACUCGAGAUUAUGCAAGACUAUUAGACCUCACCAACUCAAAGAACCCUUCCUUCCCCAGGCAUACCGGAAGGACAAGAGCAAGAUGGUGCAGGUGGCGCGUAUGGUGUGCAUCACCGUCCUGGCAGCCGCCUUCCUCAUCGGCUUCUUCACCGUCACCUCUCAGUGGAUCAACAACAGGACCUGCGACUGCGAAAAGGCCGCCCACCACCACAUGCCGGAGCACCUGACCGCCGCGAGCUUCGCCGGGUUCCCUCGCGUGGAGCCCCUGGUCGGCCUCGACAACGACAAGAUUGACCAGAGAGUCACCAAUAGCCUCGACGCCGGAGAUGACACAAGCCUCUCCAAGGUCGACCUCGAGGCUGAGGCCAAGCCGGAGAUCAACAAGGUAGAGCAGAAGGUCGUCGAAGAAAUCAUUCCUCAAGAGAUUGAGGAAGUCGAGGCCGUGGUGGACGAGGUGGUGCACGAACUGGAGGAAGAAGAGGAGGCCAUGGAGGAGGAGCGCCUCGGCCUCCAGGACAUCAUGCGCGCGCAGAUGGAGGAGAUGAAGAAGAAGAUCAAGCUGCCCAUCGACCUCAUCCUCGGCAACCCGGCUCUGGCCGGCCGCGACGUCAACUGCGAGGUGGAGCGGCGCAGCAGCCCCUCGGCCCCGGCCUCGUCACGCAGGCCAUCAUCGUCACCUGCCACGACAACGACGACGCCGAGGAGUCGCAGGAGAUCGUCCCCGACCUGCCCCUCGUCCCCCCGCAGGGCGCCCGUCGCAUCUCCCCUCCUCUCUCCCUCAUCGCCCCCAUCAUGAAGAUGCUGGCCGCCCGCGCCCGCGCCCGCUCGGACCGCCCACAGCCCCAGAUCUUCCAGGCUUCUAACAACGGCCCCUUCCCCUUCCCCUGCUCCCCUAACGGACCCUUCCCCUGCCCCUCCGGCCAGCCCAAGCCCAUCAUCACCAUGAGCGGCCCUUUCAUUCGCAAGGAGAUCGUCAUGAAGGCCCCCGCGCCAGUCAUGAAGUCCCCCGGUCCCAUCAGCGGCCCCAUCAGUGGCCCCAUCAAUGGCCCCAUCAGUGGCCCCAUCAAUGGCCCCAUCAGCGGCCCCUUCCCCGGCCCCCGCCCCAGCCCCUUCAGCGGCCCCAUCCCCGGACCCAUUCCUAUGCCCGGCCCCAUGCGAGGCCCCAUCCGAGUCCCCUUCGGCGGCCCCCUGUCCAGCCGCAUCAUCAGCGGCCCCCUGCCCAUCCAGAGCCGCCGAGACGGCCCCUUCCCCUUCGGCGUGCCCCGCCCCAUCCCCCUGCCCGCCUCCCAGGCCCUCUCUAAGCCCCAGGACGAGGAGGACGAGGAGCCCCGCCACCGCAUGCUCCCUUUCCCCUUCCGUCCCGCCGUUCGCAUGAGCCCCCGCUUCCUCCCCAUCGUGAACCUCUCUCCCCCCGCCCCUGAGCUCAGGAAUCCCCCCGUCCCCAUCUCAUCCCUGCGCCGAGGAGCUGUCAAGAUCGAGGAUCUCCCCAGGCCACUCCCCGAGGCCAAGGGACGCGCCCUCUCCUCGCCCGUCCCCCUCAAGUUCCUUCCCGGACGCCUCCUCAACAGCACCCCCUUCCUGAUGACGUCGAAGCGCACGCUGCCCCCCCGCCCCGUCACCCACAUGGAGAUGCAGGCCGAGCCCAAGAAGGACGACCCGAUGCUCCACAUCAAGGACUUCGGGCCUCCGAGGACCCACACCGUCAUCGGCCCUGCUCCCCCCCGCCCCCAACCCCCCCAAUUCCAGCCUCCCCCAUCCCCCUAGCCAUCCCCCCAAACUCAGCCACCCCAGGUCCAGCCGCCCAAGCCCAACUUCCAGCCGCCCCAGCCCAGCCGAGGUCCACCCCCACCCCAGGGUCCUCCCCCUGAGCCACGCCAGCAACAUCCCCAAGGAGAUCAUGUCCCCGCCCGAGCCCAUCGCCCACAUCACGAGGAUGCCGCCCAUGGCCGGGACUCAGAUCCCUAGCUUCCCGCCCCCGCCCCGAUUCCACCCCGAGGGGCGCUCCUCCAGCGUCAGCGAGAUCAACCCCGACGCCGAGAUGGUCGUCGAGGGCCCCGCAUCCCAGGGCCCCCCCUCCGCCCACAAGGGCCCCGGCGAGCCACGCAAACAUCACCUCCUUAUCCUUAACUAAAUCGACGUCCUAGAGUGUGUGCGUGUGUGUACGCUUCUGUGUUGUAAUAAAAAGGUCAGGCUAAUCCACACAAAAUGAACUAAUUACAAGACUCGAAUAAGUCUCUAAUCUCCACAAAACUUCAUGAUUAAUCAGCUGGUUUGACCAAAAUGAACGUUGCUUAUGAUACGCCGAGGAACUCGGAUAACGGCGGACGCUCGGGUUCUCCUCCGCGUCGCUGGCUAAGCACAGGCACACACACACACGCACACAAGUACACAUACACACAUAUAUAUACACACAUGCCCCCCUUUCUCUCCUCUUAUCAAUACUACUUUUAAGUGUAUCUACUGUAUUACGUUGUAUAAAAUUUCUUGAGAGAAAAUAAGUAAAUUACCACUUCCUUCCAAGUAGUUAACAAACAAUCUAAGUCAUCUAGUAUUAUCUGGCGGCGUCUGAGGCGAGAACGGCAGUCCCGACCACGCCCAUAAACCCCACCCUUCGCAAGUAGCUCCUCCCACUGCUCUUACUCACCCCUUUUUUCUUUUCUCUCUUUAUUAUCGCACCGAAAGCAAAGAUCUCGAUUAGAACUGCUACCUGAAAAAAGAAACUGUCAGCCAAAGAUAGUAUAAAAAAACGACUGAGAAAAGGGGAGAGGGGAAAGGGGGAGAGGAAGAGGGGAAAAAAGAGAAGGAGAAUGGGUGUGUGGCUGCCGCUCCCAUGUUGUUAGUCUGACCCCUAACUCUCUCUUGUUAGGCAUUGUUAACAAAAUUAUUUACUAAAGAUUUUGUAAUACACUCUUAAUGUGAUGAUCGCUAUGUGACCUUUUUACUGUACAAUAAAAAUGGAAAAAAAAGUUUUCUCUUUUCUUCGUAAUGGUAAAAUAGUGGUGACGGUUAAAGAAAUAACGAUAAUGGUUAUAGUAAUAAUAAUCAGAAUGAUAACCGAAUUAUCUUAGUGAUCAAAAUUAACUAAAAAUAUACUCGUACUGUUGAUAACC